CCUGGUCAACCGACUUCUCCUGUUCUCUCACUUGAUCACUACGUCAACUUUAACUGCGACGGGGGAAUGGUGAUAAAAAGGAAGGGUCGAUAAUAGAACUAAAACCCUGGCACUUGAUCCUUUUUUUGGUCUCACGUGGAAGGAAAAUCAACAAUCCAUGGAUAUACUGCGUAUGUGUAUAUAAAAGAAAAAAAAAGAAGCCUCAGAACAUUUCUGCAUGUGCAUGGUUGAUGCGCCCGAUUUUAUGCAUGUAGUUAAAAACAGCCAUUCUCUAAACUGAUCGGAGAGAUCAUGGAGGGGGCCAAUCCCUGAUAACUCCC
rnacentral:sRNA from 2 species